rnacentral:rRNA from 1 species
UACGUAGGGGGCGAGCGUUACCCGGAUUUACUGGGCGUAAAGAGCGUGUAGGCGGCUGGCCAAGCGUGAUGUGAAAUCUUCGGGCUUAACCCGAAAACUGCAUUGCGAACUGGUCUGGCUAGAGUGUGUGAGAGGGUAGUGGAAUUCCCGGUGUAGCGGUGAAAUGCGUAGAUAUCGGGAGGAGCACCAGUGGCGAAGGCGGCUACCUGGCACAUAACUGACGCUGAUACGCGAAAGCGUGGGGAGCGAACCGG